CGUCAUGAGUGGAUAGCCAUGCCAGUCGAACGACCCGGACUAUGGCGGGGAGUGGCAGACUGCUCAGUAACACGUAGCUAACCUACCCUCGGGACGGGGAUAACCCCGGGAAACUGGGGCUAAUACCCGAUAGGCGUGGAUUCCUGGAAUGGUGCCAUGCCUAAACGUAAGCGCAUCCAUGUUUGUGUGCACGCCCGAGGAUGGGGCUGCGGCCGAUCAGGCAGUUGGUGAGGUAAAGGCUCACCAAACCUUUGACCGGUACGGGCCAUGAGAGUGGUAGCCCGGAGAUGGGCACUGAGACAAGGGCCCAGGCCCUACGGGGCGCAGCAGGCGCGAAACCUCCACAAUUCACGAAAGUGAGAUGGGGUUACCUCGAGUGCCGCCUGAAGAAGGCGGCUUUUCCAUGGUGUAAUGAGCCGUGGGAAUAAGGGGGGGGCAAGACUGGUGUCAGCCGCCGCGGUAACACCAGCCCCCCGAGUGGUGGGGAUGAUUAUUUGGCCUAAAGCGUCCGUAGCCGGCUCGGUAAAUCUCUCGUUAAAUCCAGCGUCCCAAGCGUUGGGCUGCGAGGGAGACUGCCGGGCUAGAGGGUGGGAGAGGUCAGCGGUAUUCCUGGGGUAGGGGCGAAAUCCAUUGAUCCCAGGAGGACCACCAGUGGCGAAGGCUGCUGACUAGAACACGCCUGACGGUGAAGGACGAAAGCUGGGGUAGCGAAUCGGAUUAGAUACCCGAGUAGUCCCAGCCGUAAACGAUGCACGCUAGGUGUUGGGUCGGCCACGCGCCGCCUCAGUGCCACAGGGAAGCCAUUAAGCCUGCCGCCUGGGGAGUACGGCCGCAAGGCUGAAACUUAAAGGAAUUGGCGGGGGAGCACCACCAGGCGUGAAGCCUGCGGUUUAAUUGGAGUCAACGCCGGG
rnacentral:rRNA from 1 species